rnacentral:tRNA from 1 species
GCCGCUGUGGUGGAAUGGUAGACACCGUGGACUUAAAAUCCACUGAAAGGUGACUUUCGUACCGGUUCGAGUCCGGUCAGCGGCACCA